GAAAAUUUGUCGAAUUGGGAGCUAUGCCAAAUAUAUCAGAAUUCUAUCCUCUAUUUGAUGCUCUGGAUUUGCAGGGAUUGAGAAAGCAGACUGAAAUAUAUCAGAACCGAUUGGUCAACAUCUGGAGUGAAAUUGUAAAGGAAAAACGACAGGCGAUUAGUCGUAGUAGCUCGGAUUUUUUGGAUGCCAUGAUUGAUAAUGGAUUCUCGGAUUUACAGGUCGAUAUCUUAUUGAUGGAAUUAAUUUCUGCGGGUUCUGAUACCACUACCUCAACCAUUGAAUGGGCAAUGGCGGAACUGCUGAGGAACAAGGGCGCUAUGCACAAACUUCAAGCUGAGCUUACGAGUAAGAUCGGAGAAAAUGAUAUAAUUACAG
rnacentral:misc_RNA from 1 species